rnacentral:rRNA from 1 species
ACGGGUGAGUAAUACAUCGGAACGUGCCCAAUCGUGGGGGAUAACGCAGCGAAAGCUGUGCUAAUACCGCAUACGAUCUACGGAUGAAAGCAGGGGAUCGCAAGACCUUGCGCGAAUGGAGCGGCCGAUGGCAGAUUAGGUAGUUGGUGAGGUAAAGGCUCACCAAGCCUUCGAUCUGUAGCUGGUCUGAGAGGACGACCAGCCACACUGGGACUGAGACACGGCCCAGACUCCUACGGGAGGCAGCAGUGGGGAAUUUUGGACAAUGGGCGAAAGCCUGAUCCAGCCACGCCGCGUGCAGGAUGAAGGCCUUCGGGUUGUAAACUGCUUUUGUACGGAACGAAACGGUCUUUUCUAAUAAAGAAGGCUAAUGACGGUACCGUAAGAAUAAGCACCGGCUAACUACGUGCCAGCAGCCGCGGUAAUACGUAGGGUGCAAGCGUUAAUCGGAAUUACUGGGCGUAAAGCGUGCGCAGGCGGUGAUGUAAGACAGUUGUGAAAUCCCCGGGCUCAACCUGGGAACUGCAUCUGUGACUGCAUCGCUGGAGUACGGCAGAGGGGGAUGGAAUUCCGCGUGUAGCAGUG